rnacentral:rRNA from 1 species
GACGUAGGGCGCGAGCGUUGUCCGGAUUUAUUGGGCGUAAAGAGCUCGUAGGCGGCUCGUUGCGUCGGCUGUGAAAACCCACAGCUUAACUGUGGGCCUGCAGCCGAUACGGGCGAGCUAGAGUUCGGUAGGGGAGACUGGAAUUCCUGGUGUAGCGGUGAAAUGCGCAGAUAUCAGGAGGAACACCGGUGGCGAAGGCGGUUCUCUGGGCAUUACCUGACGCUGAGGAGCGAAAGUGUGGGGAGCGAACAGG